rnacentral:pre_miRNA from 1 species
AAAAAAGACAAACCUGAUUCCCAUGUCCAACGUUUGACCGUUCGUCUUAUUUAAAAAAAUUAUAAAAAAAAAUAAAAAAGAUAAGUCACGUAUAAAGUAUUAAUCAUGUUUUAUCAUCUAACAACCAUAAAAAUACUAAUUAUAAAAAAAUUUCAUAUAAGACGGAUAGUCAAACAUUAGCACAAGAAUCCAUAGUUUAUCUUUUU